AGGGUUUGAUCAUGGCUCAGAUUGAACGCUGGCGGUAGGCUUAACACAUGCAAGUCGAGCGAGAAAGUAUCUUCGGAUCUAGUGGCAGACGGGUGAGUAACGCGUGGGAACCUGCCCAGUAGUAGAGAAUAACUUGGGGAAACUUAAGCUAAUACUUUAUACGUCCUUCGGGAGAAAGCUUUAUGCGCUAUUGGAUGGGCCCGCGUUAGAUUAGUUUGUUGGUGAGGUAACGGCUCACCAAGGCGACGAUCUAUAGCUGGUCUGAGAGGAUGAUCAGCAACACUGGGACUGAGACACGGCCCAGACUUCUACGGAAGGCAGCAGUAGGGAAUCUUGGACAAUGGGCGAAAGCCUGAUCCAGCCAUGCCGCGUGAGUGAUGAAGGCCCUAGGGUUGUAAAGCUCUUUCGCCAGGGAAGAUAAUGACGGUACCUGGUAAAGAAACCCCGGCUAACUCCGUGCCAGCAGCCGCGGUAAUACGGAGGGGGUUAGCGUUGUUCGGAAUUACUGGGCGUAAAGCGCACGUAGGCGGAUUAAUAAGUCAGGGGUGAAAUCCCGAGGCUCAACCUCGGAACUGCCUUUGAUACUGUUAAUCUUGAGUUCGAGAGAGGUGAGUGGAAUUCCGAGUGUAGAGGUGAAAUUCGUAGAUAUUAGAAAGAAUACCAAUUGCGAAGGCAGCUUUCUGGAUCAUUACUGACACUGAGGAACGAAAGCAUGGGUAGCGAAGAGGAUUAGAUACCCUCGUAGUCCAUGCCGUAAACGAUGUGUGUUAGACGUUGGAAAUUUAUUUUCAGUGUCGCAGCGAAAGCGAUAAACACACCGCCUGGGGAGUACGACCGCAAGGUUAAAACUCAAAUGAAUUGACGGGGACCCGCACAAGUAGUGGAGCAUGUGGUUUAAUUCGAAGAUACGCGCAGAACCUUACCAACACUUGACAUGUUCGUCGCGACUUUAAGAGAUUAAAGUUUUCGGUUCGGCCGGACGAAACACAGGUGCUGCAUGGCUGUCGUCAGCUCGUGUCGUGAGAUGUUGGGUUAAGUCCCGCAACGAGCGCAACCCUCAUCUUUAGUUGCCAUCGGUUCGGCCGGGCACUCUAGAGAAACUGCCUGCGAUGAGCAGGAGGAAGGCGGGGAUGACGUCAAGUCCUCAUGGCCCUUAUGGACUGGGCUACACACGUGCUACAAUGGCGGUGACAACGGGCAGCGAAGGGGCAACCUGGAGCAAAUCCCAAAAAGCCGUCCCAGUUCGGAUUGUACUCUGCAACUCGAGUGCAUGAAGUUGGAAUCGCUAGUAAUCGCGGAUCAGCAUGCCGCGGUGAAUACGUUCCCGGGCCUUGUACACACCGCCCGUCACACCAUGGGAAUUGGUUCUACCCGAAUGCGGUGAGCUAACCUGCUUGCAGGAGGCAGCCGACCACGGUAGGGUCAGUGACUGGGGUGAAGUCAUAACAAGGUAGCCGUA
rnacentral:rRNA from 1 species